rnacentral:rRNA from 1 species
CCAAAGGGUUCCUGCGUAAAGUUAAUCUUCGCAGGGUUAGCCGGCUCCUAAGGCGAGGCCGAAGGGCGUAGUCGAUGGGAACGGGGUUAAUAUUCCCCGGCCAGCGGAUGGUGACGAAUCCCGUGUAUUGUCAGGUCUUAACGGAUUGAUCUGGCAGUGAAGGGGUUCCAGGAAACAGCCCCGCGCAUGACCGUACCCGAAACCGACACAGGUGGACUGGUAGAGUAUACCAAGGCGCUUGAGAGAACUCUGCUGAAGGAACUCGGCAAAUUGCCUCCGUAACUUCGGGAUAAGGAGGCCCCGGUUGUGGGCAACCAUGAUCGGGGGGCACAAGCCAGGGGGUGGCGACUGUUUAACAAAAACACAGGGCUCUGCGAAGUCAUGAAGACGACGUAUAGGGUCUGACGCCUGCCCGGUGCCGGAAGGUUAAGAGGAGAGGUGCAAGCUUUGAAUCGAAGCCCCGGUAAACGGCGGCCGUAACAAUAACGGUCCUAAGGUAGCGAAAUUCCUUGUCGGGUAAGUUCCGACCUGCGCGAGGGCGUAACGACUUCCCCGCUGUCUCCAGCAGAGACUCAGUGAAAUUGAAUUCCCCGUGAAGAUGCGGGGUUCCUGCGGUUAGACGGAAAGACCCCGUGCACCUUUACUGCAACUUUGCGCUGGCAUUCGUGUCGGCAUGUGUAGGAUAGGUGGUAGGCAUUGAAGCGGGGGCGCCAGCCUUCGUGGAGCCAACCUUGAAAUACCACCCUUAUCGUCAUGGAUGUCUAACUGCGGUUCGACAGGAUCCAGGACAGCGCAUGGUGGGCAGUUUGACUGGGGCGGUCGCCUCCCAAAGAGUAACGGAGGCGCGCGAUGGUGGGCUCAGAGCGGUCGGAAAUCGCUCGUCGAGUGCAAUGGCAUAAGCCUGCCUGACUGCGAGACAGACAAGUCGAGCAGAGACGAAAGUCGGCCAUAGUGAUCCGGUGGUCCCGCGUGGAAGGGCCAUCACUCAACGGAUAAAAGGUACGCCGGGGAUAACAGGCUGAUCUUCCCCAAGAGUCCAUAUCGACGGGAAGGUUUGGCACCUCGAUGUCGACUCAUCACAUCCUGGGGCUGGAGCAGGUCCCAAGGGUUCGGCUGUUCGCCGAUUAAAGUGGUACGUGAGUUGGGUUCAGAACGUCGUGAGACAGUUCGGUCCCUAUCUGCCGUGGGAGUUCGAGACUUGAGACGAUCUGUCCUUAGUACGAGAGGACCGGGAUGGACGCACCACUGGUGGACCUGUUGUCCUGCCAAGGGCAGUGCAGGGUAGCUAUGUGCGGACGGGAUAACCGCUGAAGGCAUCUAAGCGGGAAACCCACGUCAAAACAAGGUCUCGCAAAAUAGAGCCGUGGUAGACGACCACGUCGAUAGGCCGGGUGUGUAAGGGCAGUAAUGUCUUCAGCUUACCGGUACUAAUAGCUCC